rnacentral:lncRNA from 1 species
CUGUAACUUUAGUCUAGGCUCUGGCUAUACGGCAUUGUGACAUAUCACUGCACUGAUCACCCAGGAGAUGUAACUCUUGUCUAGGCUCUGCCUAAAGUGGGCUUGUGACAUAUCUCUGCACUGAUCACCCAGGUGAUAUAACUCUUCUCUAGGAUCUGCCUACUGGGUGCUUUGUGACAUAUCCCUGCAAUGAUCACCCAGGUGAUAUACCACUUGUCAAGGCCCUGCCUACAGGGGCAUUGCGAUGUAUCUCUGCACUGAUCACCCAGGUGAUGUAACUCUUUUCUAGGAUCUGCCUACAGGGUGCUUUGUGACAUAUCCCUGCAAUGAUCACCCAGGUGAUGUACCACUUGUCAAGGCUCUGCCUACAGGGACAUUGCGAUGUAUCUCUGCACUGAUCACCGAGGUCAUGUAACUCUAGUCUAGGCUCUGCCUACUGUAGCAUAGUGACAUAUCUCUGCACUGAUCAUCCAAGUGAUGUAACCUUUCUCUAGGAUCUGCCUAAAGGGAAUUUGUGACAUAACUCUGCACUGAUCAUCCAGGUGAUGGGGCUUUUAUCUAGGCUCUGCCUAAGGGGGCAUUGUGACAUAUUUCUGCACUGAUC